rnacentral:rRNA from 1 species
UUAAAUUGAAGAGUUUGAUCAUGGCUCAGAUUGAACGCUGGCGGCAGGCCUAACACAUGCAAGUCGAACGGUAACAGGAAGAAGCUUGCUUCUUUGCUGACGAGUGGCGGACGGGUGAGUAAUGUCUGGGAAACUGCCUGAUGGAGGGGGAUAACUACUGGAAACGGUAGCUAAUACCGCAUAACGUCGCAAGACCAAAGAGGGGGACCUUCGGGCCUCUUGCCAUCGGAUGUGCCCAGAUGGGAUUAGCUUGUUGGUGGGGUAACGGCUCACCAAGGCGACGAUCCCUAGCUGGUCUGAGAGGAUGACCAGCCACACUGGAACUGAGACACGGUCCAGACUCCUACGGGAGGCAGCAGUGGGGAAUAUUGCACAAUGGGCGCAAGCCUGAUGCAGCCAUGCCGCGUGUAUGAAGAAGGCCUUCGGGUUGUAAAGU